CAUUUUUAUUCUGAGAUAAGUGUCAACUGAAGACAAAGUUUAAUUUAUCAAUUCAAGUAAUACAGACAUGUCAGACACACAUUAUGCUAAUGGUAAGAAUUAACAGUUUGUUUUGACACUGUAUGUAAUAACCCCUGAAUAAGGUUUGGAGACAUUGUUUCUCUACAAUUCUUAACCUCACUGCAAGAGAGACAUACGGCAAUAGGAACAAGUGCUCCAGGAACUCUGUUUAAAGUGUCAAAUACUUUACUGUUGGUGAAAAUAAACAGACACAAUGCCUGAGAUUGUCUGACAUUUUGAGAUGGCAAAUGUAAUGUAGAAAAUUAGUAUUUCUAUCUAUCUAUCUAUCUUCAUUUUGUAACAGUGGGGCUCUUGUCUAAGUGCAGCACCCAGACACAGGGGCAUAUUAGCCGCGAGGCAAACAAGGCAUUUGCCUUGGGCGGCAUUUUUCAGGGGGCGGCAAAAAAGCCGCCCCCAAAUGCCCAGGGCAAAUGCCUAGUUAGCCUCGCACCCACACACAUACACAGCACCAACACACAUACAGCACCCACAGACAUACACAGCACCUAAACACAUACAGCACCCACACACAUACACAGCACCAACACACAUAGAGCACCCACAGACAUACACAGCACCUAAACACAUACAGCACCCACAGACAUACACAGCACCUACACACAUACAGUACCCACACACACAGACAUACACAGCACCUAAACACAUACAGCACCCACAGACAUACACAGCACCUACACACAUACAGUACCCACACACAUACACAGCACCAACACGCAUACAGCACCCACACACAUACAGCACCCACACACAUACACAGCACAUACACAGCACCAACACACAUACAGCACCCACAGACAUACACAGCACCUAUACACAUACAGCACCCACAGACAUGCACAGCACCUACACACAUACAGCACCCACACACAUACACAGCACCAACACACACACAGUACCCACACACAUACAGCACCCACAGACAUACACAGCACCCACACACAUACAGCACCCACACACACACACAGCACCAACACACAUACAGCACCCCCACACACAUACAGCACCCACACACACAUACAGCACCAACACACAUAGCACCCUCACAAACAGCACCCUCACAAACACACACAGCGCCCUUACACACAGCACACAAGCAGCACCCUCACACACACACAGCACACUAACAGUACCCUCACAAACACAAACAGAACCCUAACAAACACACACACAGCACACUACCAGUACCCUCACACACAAACAGCACCCUCACACACAGUACAUUAACAGCACCCUCAAAAGCGCACACACACACAAACAGCACCCUCACACACAGUACAUUAACAGCACCCUCACAAACACCCUCACCCGCAUGGCACACUACCAGCACCCUCACACACACAUCACACUAACAGCACCCUCACACAGCGCACACAGCACACACACACAGCAGUCUGCAACUAUGUCUGUAGUUCCAUUCUGCUCCCCCUGCCUGGUCUCCUCUGCGAAUCUCAAGCAGAAGUGGAAACAGCAGUUAUGGAAACGUCGGUCACGUUCCCUGUGUCUCUAUUUAAACUGUGCUGCUUUGACUCUCGACUUGGAUUGGUUUUGAGGAGACUGGGCAGGAAGAACAGAACAGAACAAUAGAUUCGAGGUGACUCUUGACUUGGACCUUUCGAGGAGACUGGGCAGGAAGAGCAGAACAGAACUAUAGAUUCGAGGUGAGAAGUUGCAUGUGGAGCACACCUAAAAAGAGGAGGCUAAGGUUUUACCUUAGUUGUGACUGACACUUUGUAUCAAGACAUUAGCUACAGCUGCUUUGCACUAUUUGCCUAUGACAUCUUUAUAUAGAUAAAGCACUCCAGAACAUUUUUUUUUUUGGGGGGGGGGGAAUAUUAAAUAAACAGUGUUGAUAUUACUCGAUACAUAGCAGUUGUUUCAAUCCUUGUCCCAGAAAUUUAUUUUCCUGCUGUAUAGGAUCCAACGUACGUUGUUGAUCAAUACUCUUGUAUUAUUACCUGUUCCCCAUGCUAAGUAUUUGUCAAAUCCGUAUAAAUUCCACACAGUGUCAUUCGACUGCCAUCAGUUCACAAAAUGUCCCUUAGUGAUGAAUAUUUCUCCCAUACACAGGGUACAUAUAAUUGUGUGGUUUUUUUUCACAUAGCCCCUGGUCACUAUUAUUUUUCUAGAGCACUACCCCUUUAUUUAUUUAUUUAUAAAAUAUUUUACCAGGAAAGAUACAUUGAGAUUUCUCUCGUUUUCAAGUAUGUCCUGGGUCCACAAAUCAUUGCAUUGUUACAUUAGGUACAACAAAAUACAAAAACAAUAUUAAUACACAAUAUAUACAAAAUUUAACAUAGAACAGGCCGAAAAUAUAUAAUCAACCAUGACACGUGCAUUCUGUUUUGAGGUAUGUAGAGAGGGAUCUCUUAAAUGACUUUAGGCUUAGGGAAGAUUUUAAAUUGUGCGGGAAGUCGUUCCACAAUUGCGGUGCUCUGUAGGAGAAGGAGGAUCGGGCCGCUUUCUUUUUGUAUUGAGGUAGACUAAGUAAAUUGCUUGUACUGGAUCGGAGCUUAUAGAAAGUGGGAACAGCUGGGGAAAGCAUUUUGUUCAGGUAGGGUGGGAGUUUCCCAGAAAAGCUCUUAAAAACAAGGCUGGAAAGAUGAAGGGUGCGUCUGGAUUCCAGCGACAGCCAGUUAAGUUCCUUUAGCAUGUCACAAUGAUGGGUCCUGUAAUUACA